GGCCAAGUGGUGUAACAGUUACACUUCCUCUCUUCUUGCAGAAAACCUCCAAGCUUCGGAGGAAGAUCCCGGUUCGAGUCCGGGCUUGGCCC